AACGCUUCUCGGCCUUUUGGCUAAGAUCAAGUGUAGUGUGUGUAAUCUAUCUCUUCCUAGUCUCUCACCAUUUUUUCUUUCCUUAUCCACCUCCC